UGCAAUAUAGCACAAGGUGCUGUAAAAUGAAGAUAUAUUGUUAAAUAUCAUGAGAUAGAAAUAAAAGAUGAAGGUCUAGCUGUACCCGUCCCGAGCCACACUACUGCAGCCACGUUGCUGCUGGCAUUUUUGCAAAAUAGCACAAGGUCACAACAAUUGAUGUAACAAAUAUAAUCAAUGGACCAGGCACCUGCACCAUGAUUCUUUGGAAUACUAAAAUUCGUCUCUUUAUGUCUGUACUUCUCAUAAUGAAAAAUGUCACGUUUUUAUGAAAGAAAUAAUGGAAUCAAAUAAUAAAUAAAACAAGCAUAUGCUGGAA
rnacentral:lncRNA from 1 species